ensembl:lncRNA
GGCAGGGGCUCGAGGCACUAUUUACCAAGGAUGACAUACUUCUCAUGGAACCAGAUGUGGUUCUGUGUGACUUGCAGAUCCCAGUGGCACUUGUGGAAGCUGUUAGGUUGUGUACUUGGGCCCUCGUAAAAAACACUUUCAUAAAAAAAUUUUCAAAAAAAUAUUUUAAAAGGAACUGAGCGACUCCACUCCCACCUUGCUGGCGUGAGGCGGUCAUAUUCAGCCGGAGAGGAAGCUUCUUCUAUGGAGUGGAGGUGAAGCACAUUGCCGUGACCACAGCACAACAGAGCCUGGAACUCAGCCCUGGGAAGGGACGACUUUCUGUCCUCAGAUGUCAAGUCGCCAUCCAGCAGGGCAAUACAGGAAACAUGAGACAGUGGGAGGAAGAGAGAAGGAACAAGGGAUUCCUCAGAGCUUCUGCUGUACCCCAACUCCCCUAGAAGCUAUCCCUACUUUAGCUGAGCAUCCAUUGGUGAGUAUUUACAUACAUGAGGGUAGUGCAGUGAGUAGUGGGGGUGAAAUUUCUCUGCUUAAACAAGCCAGGGACUUCGCAGGUGUGGGGAGACUUGAGAGCAGUUAGAAAACUUGAGGAGUGCAAAGAUGAUUAGAAAACUUGAGAGCAGUUAGAAAACUUGAGGAGUGCAGAGUCACAGGCUGGGUGGCCAAGCAAGGUUCCAAGCGGCAGAGCCACCAGGGCCUUGGGGCAUAGAGGGGUCUGGGUUCCAGGUUCCAGCUACCUUGGUCCACAGCAUCACCCCUCCUCUGCUCACAGCUUCAACAAAGCCUGCUCGAGAGCGCAGGUCCCCUGUGUGUGAGGUACCUCCAAUAAAGAAGGCUGGAUUGCACUGCCAGGGCCACAUAGAGCAGGUCCUGCCAGUGACAGGAGGAAUCACUGAAUCCAGACUAAGAAUAGGAGCCUGUGUAAGAAAUCAGGCACCAACAGACAUCUUGAGGAAAGCGUGGAGAAAUCCUUGUCAGUAGCUCUGGAGGAAAUGUGUUAGUUUUUAUCGCUGGUCCUAACUUCCCAGGUUUGGAAACUGAACAAGACUAAAAUUCCUCGGGGUUUAAACAUUUGACUUGACAUAGCUUUUUUUUUUUUUUUUUCCCCCCCCUGGCUAGGAAGUAUUUACAUUUGAAAUAGAGAAUUCAGUCUGAUAGCCUAACUACUAGUCAUCCAAGAGGUUGCCAGAAACCAGUGUACUAACAAAUGUGUUAAUAGGACUUAAUUGAGAGGACAGAGCUGGAAUUCUGAGGACAACCAAUGAUGACAUCGUUCUUUAUGUGCCCACAGGAAUGGCCCAAGUGCUAGCCUGGUGAUGGGCCUGGCCGAGGAGGACGUGUGAUUUGGGGUCAUUAAGAACCUCUCAUAGAUCCUGGAAAUGCAGUGUGUUUUUAAGUGGAUUGCUUUACCAGUGAGCAUUAAAAGUGUUU